AUGUCAUGAUGAGGGCACUUUCUAAGCAAAUCGUUAAACCUUUCCCAUGCCUCAUGAAACAUUUCCCCAUCCCUUAAAGUUUAAGUCUUAAAACUUCUUCCGGCAUGU